rnacentral:rRNA from 1 species
CAAGAGCGUAUAUUAAAGUUGUUGCAGUUAAAGCUCGUAGUUGGAUUUCUGGUACAACGCGCCUGGCCCGCUUACGUGAGUGCCGGUGCCGCGUUGUCCAUCCUUCUAGAAAACGUCUCUACUCGGGCAACUGAGCCGGAUUCGCGAUCUAGAUCUUUUACUUUGAAAAAUUAGAGUGUUUAAGCAGGCUAUUGCCUUGAAUAUAUUAGCAUGGAAUAAUAAUCUAGGACUUCGGUUCUAUUUUGUUGGUUUCUAGAUCUGAAGUAAUGAUUGAUAGGGAUAGUUGGGGGUGCUAGUAUUAAGGGGCCAGAGGUGAAAUUCUUGGAUUCUCUUAAGACUAACUUAUGCGAAAGCAUUCACCAAGGAUGUCUUCUUUAAUCAAGAACGAAAGU